GUANAUNGNCGCNAAAUCCUGACUGUGCUAAGGUAGCAUAAUCAUUAGUCUUUUAAUUGAAGGCUGGUAUGAAUGACGAGACGAGAAAGUAGCUGUCUCUGAGGUAUAUGUUGAAUUUCAUUUCUUAGUGAAAAAGCUGAGAUGAUUUUAAAGGACGAUCAGACCCUAUGGAGCUUUAUUUAUUUUUAUAUUUUUGAAUUUAUUUUAUAAGAUUGGGAUAGAAGUAAAUUUUGUUGGGGCGACAAAGAGUUAAAGAUAACACUCUUUUAUUUAAACAAAUUUAAUUGGAAGAUUGAUCCUCUAAGGGAGAUCAAAAGACUAAGUUACCCUAGGGAUAACAGCGUAAUCUUUUUGGAGAGUUCUAAUCGAUAAAAAGGUUUGCGACCUCGAUGUUGGAUUAAGAGAUUGGCAAGGUGCAGAAGUUUUGCUAGAAAGUCUGUUCGACUUU
rnacentral:rRNA from 1 species